rnacentral:lncRNA from 1 species
AGGUUCGAGCUCUUCUCGGGCUCGGCCGACGCCUUUUCUCUAAAAAAACAACCCUAGCUAGCAUGUACACAGUACACGCUAAACAAAAAAGGUUGUUUAUAGUAGAGUAAAAAAUGUGUCGAACAAAGUAAAAACGUUCAUUUUCCUGUGCAGUAAAAGUAGAGCACCUGCCCGGCAAAAAUUAUGUUGAGAACUGAAUCUACAAAAACCAGGUAACAACAGCAGCAUAUUGUGUCCGAUAAUUGUAUCUUGUCAUCACUAAAAUAACAUCAGUACCAGGUAACUAGGUAAGACCAUACAAUGAUCUCCAACAGAUACAGUAGUAACAGGACAUCUGUUUUCACUAGUGAGCAUACUGUAGUAGCAAGAGACACUCCCAACAGCCAGAAUGUUCACCAAAGUAAGCUCUUCAGCUAACAUUUAGGCCAAUAAUUGUAACUCGGUGCAUCAUUCCUUGUGGUGGAUAUGUUGGACUGCUAUCAAAAGGGUGGUGGUGGUGAGCCGCCUGGGCCUGGGGGUCCAAACAACGGGCCACAGCAAUCUUGGAGCAGGCAGCAACAACAAAGGAGGUAGAAGCUGCACAAGAAGUAUUCUUCAUGAGUUUUCAGAGAAUAAAAGCUAUCUGUUUCAAACAGAAAAAAAAUUUAAAAGGAAGAAAGCUAAACGACUAAUGUAUGCUCCGCAACUAUAUAUUGCAAUUUGAUUUAGUUGACCCCUAAACCACUAACCAUCAAACUGAAUGAAUUGCUUUCUGUUUUCUUUUCGAGAUGUUAACUUGGUAAUAAAUUGAUAAUUUGCUGGCAAAAAUGCAUAGUUUAAAUUUCUGUUCGUAGCUGAGGUUUCAACUUACCAGGAUGCGAAAAAGCCACCAAACCAAGGCCCCCAAGAACCAGGGCCAGAGCCACCCCAACCUGGUCCUCCAGGCUCAUGAGGAUCCAUUCCACCAACACAGAAACAACUGGUUAAUACAGACUAAAGCUUCACAUCAAGAACUCAACCACGACAC